rnacentral:rRNA from 1 species
GACGAACGCUGGCGGCGUGCUUAACACAUGCAAGUCGAACGGAAAGGCCCUGCUUUUGUGGGGUGCUCGAGUGGCGAACGGGUGAGUAACACGUGAGUAACCUGCCCUUGACUUUGGGAUAACUUCAGGAAACUGGGGCUAAUACCGGAUAGGAGCUCCUGCUGCAUGGUGGGGGUUGGAAAGUUUCGGCGGUUGGGGAUGGACUCGCGGCUUAUCAGCUUGUUGGUGGGGUAGUGGCUUACCAAGGCUUUGACGGGUAGCCGGCCUGAGAGGGUGACCGGCCACAUUGGGACUGAGAUACGGCCCAGACUCCUACGGGCAGCAGCAGUGGGGAAUAUUGCACAAUGGGCGGAAGCCUGAUGCAGCAACGCCGCGUGCGGGAUGACGGCCUUCGGGUUGUAAACCGCUUUCGCCUGUGACGAAGCGUGAGUGACGGUAAUGGGUAAAGAAGCACCGGCUAACUACGUG